rnacentral:lncRNA from 1 species
UGUCAUUUUUCUCUAUAGUCUUAAUCUCUUCAUCCAUAGCAUCUCUCCAUCUUUUAUUUUGCACCGCGUCUUCAUACCCUAUUGGUUCACAAUCGACAAAAAGACAAAAAAGUGUGAGAUCAUUUUGAUUUUCGGUUACCUCAUAUAGCUCUUGUAGGCUCCUCAUCCGUGGUGUCCUUUCGCUUGAACUUUCUCCUUGUGAAGAUGAUGGAGAAGCAUUUCCAUGAGUAGGUGAUAGAGGUGGACUGAUAAUCUCUUGCUGCUCUCCAUUCUUUUGUUCUUCUUCAUAAAAGAAUGGUAAGAAGUCAUAGUCUUC